CAGAAAGACCUCAACUACAGAUGUAGAACUCGUUGGGAACAGGUUUAAGGUCAGCUGUUUCUGUGGGUUUCCCCAGCAUGGUCUUGACCCCUUUUCAAAUCACUCCUCCCUCUCUACAACUGGAUUCCAGGAGUUCAGCUCAGUGCUUAGCUAUGGAUGUCUGCUUCUGCUUCCAUCAGCUACUGGAUGAAGGCUCUACAAUGGCAUUUAAGGAAGGAGACCUGCACAUGUCAUUCACUAAGGAGAAAGAGCAGAGAAAGUCCAAUCCGGGAGAAACUGAUGAUGGGCGGAGCUCGGUGUCAGGGCAAGUAUAAAGCCCUGGGUUCAAAUCCCAAACUUCAAAACAAAGCUUAAAAAUCACCCAGGCAGACAGUGAGAUCCUGUCUCAGAACAAACAAAAAGAAAGAAGUCACCAGCAGCAAACAACGGGAUUUGGAAUUGACUGACCUAAUGACUGUAAUUUAGGGUGAAGUAGACCUCAUUCAUGUUCCUAUCUCAGGACUUAUUUGCUGUACAUACCAGGCCUAUUCUACUUGGACUCAGAACGGGAUUUUUAAAAAAAACAUCCAAAGAUGGAGCAAUGGCUCACCCAUUAAGAGAAUGUGCUGCUCUUGCAGAGUUCAGUCCCAGCACCCACAUCAGGCAACUCACAACUGCCUAUAACCCCAGCUUCAGGCCUCCAUGGAUACCUCAUUCAGAGGUAAAUACUCAAACACAUACACAUAAUUAAAAAUAAUAAAAACCAUUUUAUUGUUUUUUUU
rnacentral:lncRNA from 1 species